UACGAAGGGGGCUAGCGUUGCUCGGAAUUACUGGGCGUAAAGGGCGCGUAGGCGGAUAGUUUAGUCAGAGGUGAAAGCCCAGGGCUCAACCUUGGAAUUGCCUUUGAUACUGGCUAUCUUGAGUUCGGGAGAGGUGAGUGGAAUGCCGAGUGUAGAGGUGAAAUUCGUAGAUAUUCGGCGGAACACCAGUGGCGAAGGCGACUCACUGGCCCGAUACUGACGCUGAGGUGCGAAAGCGUGGGGAGCAAACAGGG
rnacentral:rRNA from 1 species